UUCUUAUUGGAUGAUGACUAUCACAUGUCAUGUUCUGAUUGGAUGUCAACUCCAUGAAAGAUGAAAUGCAUUGUUGUUUUCAUUAACCAAUCAGAACAUGACACGUGAUAGUCAUCAUCC
rnacentral:pre_miRNA from 1 species